rnacentral:rRNA from 1 species
GAUGAACGCUAGCUACAGGCUUAACACAUGCAAGUCGAGGGGCAGCGGGAUUGAAGCUUGCUUCAAUCGCCGGCGACCGGCGCACGGGUGAGUAACGCGUAUCCAACCUUCCGUACACUCAGGGAUAGCCUUUCGAAAGAAAGAUUAAUACCUGAUGGUAUCUUAAGCACACAUGUAAUUAAGAUUAAAGAUUUAUCGGUGUAAGAUGGGGAUGCGUUCCAUUAGAUAGUGGGCGGGGUAACGGCCCACCUAGUCUUCGAUGGAUAGGGGUUCUGAGAGGAAGGUCCCCCACAUUGGUACUGAGACACGGACUAA